CUUGACGACCAUAGAGCAUUGGAACCACCUGAUCCCAUCCCGAACUCAGCAGUGAAACGAUGCAU
rnacentral:rRNA from 1 species